rnacentral:rRNA from 1 species
UACGUAGGUGACAAGCGUUGUCCGGAUUUACUGGGCGUAAAGAGCGCGCAGGCGGUCGUUCAAGUCGAGUGUGAAAGCCCCCGGCUCAACUGGGGAGGGUCACUCGAUACUGAUCGACUCGAAGGCAGGAGAGGGAAGUGGAAUUCCCGGUGUAGUGGUGAAAUGCGUAGAUAUCGGGAGGAACACCAGUGGCGAAGGCGGGUCUCUGGGCCGAUCCUGACGCUGAGGCGCGAAGGCGUGGGGAGCGAACGGG